UACAGAGGUCUCAAGCGUUUGUUCGGAUUCAUUGGGCGUAAAGGGUGCGUAGGCGGCGCGGUAAGUCGGGUGUGAAAUCUCGGGGCUUAACUCCGAAACUGCAUUCGAUACUGCCGUGCUUGAGGACUGGAGAGGAGACUGGAAUUUACGGUGUAGCGGUGAAAUGCGUAGAUAUCGUAAGGAAGACCAGUGGCGAAGGCGGGUCUCUGGACAGUUCCUGACGCUGAGGCACGAAGGCCCAGGGGGAGCAAAACGGGGAUUAGAAA
rnacentral:rRNA from 1 species